CAGUCAUUGACUUUGGAGAAAAGUGGAGAGAAGCUUUCUGGUUAUUUUGUGUCUUUCUGUACUUGUGUAUUAUUUGGAUUUUCUAACUAUAUUCCCAUAUGUGGAGAAAACGAGGGAGAGUAAGCAGGACAGAAGUUAUAAUAGAAGUCAAAGUAUGUGAUUUUUCUUUUUUUUUAUUUCUUUAUAAUUAAAAAAGAUAAAUACAUACAAUUGACCGUUGAACAACUCAGGUUUCAACUCUACAGGUCCACUUACGAAGCAGAUUUUUCCCAACAGUAAAUACCAGAGUACCACAUGAUUUUCGGUGCUGUUGGUUGAAUUUGUGGGUACAAGAGCCCUGGAUACAGUCAAACCAAGGAUAUGGAAAAAACAGGCAUAUUAUAUGGAGGGCCAGCCACAUUUUCUUGCCUGGAAAAUCCCAUGGUCAAAGGAGCCUGGAAGGCUACAGUUCAUGGGGUCACAAAGAGUCAGACACCACUGAGCAGCUAACACUUCUAACAUUUGAUUGUGUAGAAAGUUGGUGCCCCUAACCCUCCAAGCUGUUCAAGUGUGAAAGGUCAUCUGAAUAUAAUCAAGUUUUCAGACCUCAUACAGGAAAUCCAAGAAAAGAGGACAUAUUCAGACAAAUUCAGACAAAUUCAAAAGGUGGGACAGCACAUAACAGUCAACUGUUUUCAACAAGAAAAUGUAGUACAAGAAAGAAAACAAAAAGUUGGAUGGGUUGAGGGAACUAUUCUAGAUUAAGAGACCAAAGAGACAGGUAUGAUUCAACCAAAUGGACUAUGUCAUUUGGUUGGACCUUGGCAGGGUAAGUGGGGGAACGUGUACAAGGACUGGUUUAGGUAUUAUUAAGGACUUAUUGUUUGUUUUUUAUGCCUGAUGAUGGUUUUAUGGUUAUGCAGGAAAAUGUCUUUAUUUCUCAGAAAUGCAUAUUUAUGGGGGAAAAUCAAGUCUUUCACAAUCUGGCUUAUACAUAUGCCAAGUUCAAAAGACAGGAUAACGAAACAG
ensembl:lncRNA